UCAGGAACUUCUGGGAAGGCAUUAGGCCUGGUUAGAUGCUGGUUGCCAUGGAGCCCAGGGCCAGAGGCAGUUUCUGGUCGUGCCUAGGAGCUGUGCAACGCCAGCCCUUGAGGAGGAAGCCAUCUGUUUCUGGAAUCACCCUCCCCGCCACGUAUAUGAGACAUAUCCUUGAUUGUCCGUGAAAUCAGGUGGUCCAGGGCCAGGUUGGUCCAUAGAGCCUCUGACUCUGCAACACCUCACCCCAGGGUGCCGCCAGCAUAAAGACAGAAGCCUGCAGGGCUCAACAAGGAGAAGGGGCAAAGUGAAGAGAAUUCGGGAAGCUCGUGACAGCAAAAUCACAGGUCAUGGAGUAAAGGGAAGACGAAAUUAGAAAGGAGGUUUCCUAAUUUGGGACAUUGGGAAGAUAUCUGGCAGAAAAUCUGCCUCAAGCAGGUUCAUCUGUUUAAUUAACCUGAGGCCAGUGACUGUUUUGUUGUUGUUGUUGUUUUAUCCAUGAAAUGUGACCAGCAUGAAAAAUCUGAUAUGCAUAUUUCAGAGGACAGCCCCUGUGACAUUCGUCAGCUUAUUAAAGGAAACAAUAUGCCCUAAAACGUGAAAAGCCACUUCCUUGAAACCAAGUCGAGGGGGAAUGGUAAACCAAAGUUAGCAGAAAUAGAAAAGUAGGGUGUUGGUCAGGAAAGACUUCCUAUAGAGAUGUGCCUGUCAGAAAGAUUACUAUUCCCAUCCCGCAUGCUGGAGACCCAUGUGGCAAACAGUGUGGCAGGGACAGACUUUGUUUAAACGAAGGAAUUUGCACUGAAGAUCAUCUUCCGCAUUUUUAUAAACUUUGAAAGCAGUCAGUGGUCUCAGCAUUUUCCUACAAAGGCCAUAUCCCCACGCGUACAUUUGAAUUCUCAAAAGCUCUUUCUCCAAAAGCAUUGCUAAUAAAAAAUGUAAAAAAAAAGAAUUGUCAAAGGGGCCUCUAGAGAUCAUUUGACUUGGUUCAAUAUCUUUAGGCUUGUGAGUAUGUAAAACUAUCCAAGACACAAAGUUAUCAAGUCUUUUUGUUUUGUUCUGUUUUUUUUUUCCUCCCAUUAAAGCAUUCUAGAAACAAAGACCACUGCUCUGAAGCAUUUACUAUUCUGAUAGGUAAUGUGCUCUUAUAGUCACCUGAGGCUGUUGUUAUUCUUGUGUACUUCUAUGCUGCUGAUUAAUUUUCAAAAGCACGGUACAGAGAAAGGGUGCUCAACAUUACUAGUUAUUAGGGACAUGAGAAUUAAAAUCACAGUGAGAUACAGUCUGUCCUCUGUAUCUGUGGGCUCCGUACCUGCUGAUUCAACCAACCAUGGAUCAAAAAUAAUCCAAACAACAACAAAAAUAAUACAGAUGCAAAAGUAGGGAAUAACAACUACUUACAUAGCAUUUACAUUAUAUUAGGUAUUUUAAAUAAUCUAGAAAUGAUUUAAAGUAUAUAAGAUGAUGUGCAUAAGUUAUAUGCAAAUACUAUGCCAUUAUAUAGAAGGGACUUGAGCAUCCUUGGAUUUGGUAUCUGUAGGAGGUGGUCUUGGAACCAAUUCCCCAAGGAUACCAAGAAACAACUCUACUACUACAUGCCUGUUAGAACGGUUAAAAUUAAAGAGAUUGAUUUUACUGAGUGUUGGUGAGGGUGUAGAGAAGCUGGAACUCUCAUGCCCUGCUGGUGGGAAUGUAAAAUGGCACAACCACUUUGGGAAACUAUUAGCAGUUCUUUAAAAGUUAAACAUAUGUCUACCAUAUGAUUUGGUCAAUCCACUCCUUGGUAUUUACCCAAGAGAAAUGAAAGCGUGUGUUCACACAAAGACUUAGAUAUGAAUAUUCAUAAAAGUUUUAUUUGUAAUCAUCAAAAACUGAAAGCAAUUACAUGUUUGGAAUUGAAAUGUAUGGUAAUAUAAUACAAUAUAAAUGAAUGGAUAAAUCGUGGUAUAUCCAUGCAAUGGAAUACUACUCAGCAAUGAAAAGGAAGAAACUAUUAAUGCACUUAAGAUCAUUGCUGAUUUUCAAAUUAAUUAUCCUGUGUAAUAAAGAAUUUGGCCUUUGUCCCCAGUUCCUGGGAGAUAGGCUCUAAAUCCUUGGAAUUUUCCAAGUCGAAGAGUGUCUUUUUUACUGGUGGUUGGCCUGUCAACCACACUUGAGUUUAUGCUAAUGAGGUGACUCAUGAUGGGACCUUACACAAUUUAUGCUAAUGGAAUGACUCAAGAUGGGGGCUGGCCAUGCCAGAAAAACCAACCAUGUAUUUAGAAGGUUGGGGCUUUGAGCUUUUGAUAUAGGCCUGACUUCUGGGGAGAGGAGCAGGGCUGAAGAUUGAGUCAUAGGCCAGUGAUCCAAUGAGUCAUGCCUAUGUGAUGAAGCCCCUAAUAAAAACAAUGGAUAUCAAAGCUCGGGUGAGUCUGACUGCUUGGCUACGCUCAGUGUCUUGUCUCACAUCAGUGUGCUGGAAGGGUCCUUUGUCCUGACUCCACAAGGAGAAGACAUGGAAGCUUCAUGUUUGGGACACUCCCAGUCCUUGCCCUGUGCAUCUCUUCUUUUGGCUGGUUCUGAUUUUGAAAACUUUGGCUACAAUAAAACUGUAAUAAUAAGUGUAGUUCUUUCGUGGGUCUUGUGGGGUUUUCUAGUGAAUUACCAAACCUGAGAGGGGAGUGGGAAGCCCCCAAAAUUGUGACUGCAUCUGAAGUGGGAGCAGUCUUGAGCCCUUAACCUUGAGCCUAGCUCCUGGUAGUUGUUGUCAGAAGUCAUUGCAAUUAUGCUGAGUAAAAAAAGUCAGAAUAAAAGAGGACAUACUAUAGUCUUUAAAAAUGCAAAUUAACACACAGUGACAGAAAGUAGAUCAGUGGUUGCCCGGGACCAAAAUGGAGCACGCUACGGAGGAGGGAUUAUAAAGGGCAGGAGGCAUUUCACCGGUGUUUGAAUAUGUGCAGUUUAUUAUAUGUUAAUACCUCAAUAAAGCUACUUAAAAAAAAAAAGCUCAGUGUGGCCUCUUAUGACCCUGACCAGAGCCCUCCAUGGCUUAUCCAAAGUCUACAGGAUCAAGGCCUUUCAUGACCUGGUCCCAUCUGUCUUUCCAGCCUUGCAUUUAAGCACCAUCCUACACAAAUCCUUCGCUUUAGCCAAACUGUAUGUCUUGCUACCCUCCAAGUAUUCUUCAUGCUUUUUCCACCUCUGCAGCUUUGUUUAUAUAGUCAUAGAAUGCCCUCUCCUAGGUUACCACCCUCACUUUACCUGUUAAAAGUUUACCUACCCUAGGCCGGGCGCAGUGGCUCGCGCCUGUAAUCCCAGCACUUUGGGAGGCCG
rnacentral:lncRNA from 1 species